CUCCGCAGCUGCUGGCCCGGGUGCUAAGCCGCUCACUGCCUGGCGCCGGCGGCUCCGGCCAGCCGCUCUGAGUGCUGGGCCCGCCGAGCCCACGCCCACCCGGAACUCGCGCUGGCCAGCAAGCGCCGCGCGCAGCCCCGGUUCCCACCCGCGCCUCUCCCUCCACACCUCUGUGCAAGCUGAGGGAGCCGGCUCCGGCCUCGGCCAGCCCAGAAAAGGGCUCCCGCAGUGCAGCGGCGGGCUGAAGGGCUGCUGAAGCGCGGCAAGAGUGGGCGCCUAGGCCAAGGAGGCGCGGAGAGCGAGCGAGGCCUGUGAGUGCUGCCAGCACGCCGUCACCUCUCAAUAUGACUUAGGGAUCAUGGCUUAUUUGAGCUGUUGCUCCUCAGUGGACAUCAUAGGAUCUUGCAGAUGUGUAUCAAUCCUUCGCAAGUAGAGAUAUGUGUAAUGUCACAUAUGAAUGCUCCAAAAAGUUAUCAGCCAGCAAGGUGGCCAGAGUUGGAAGAACUGCUUCUCUUAGAACAGCUUUUACCUUUACCCAUUAAAGUGACUUUUUCCUGACCAGUGCAUGGAUGAAGAACACAUUUUGAGGAAAUGGGAGUGAAAAAAUAUUCAGAAAACAGAAAUCUAUUUAUUGAAAAAUGCAAAAUUAGAACAUAACUUUUGAAUUGGGAAAUGUUUUGAUUCUCUCAUUA
rnacentral:lncRNA from 10 species